GAUGAACGCUGGCGGCGUGCCUAAUACAUGCAAGUCGAACGCUUCACUUCGGUGAAGAGUGGCUGAUGGGUGAGUAAUCCAUAAGUAACCUGGCAUCUACACGGGGAUAACUGUUGGAAACGCCAGCUAAGACCGCAGAGGUGUAGAGAUCGCAGCUACUCUAUCUGAAAAGUGCUACGGGACUGGUAGAUGAUGGACUUAUGGCGCAUUAGCUUGUUGGUAGGGUAACGGGCUACCAUGGCGACGAUGCGUACCCGACCUCAGAGAGUGACGGGCCACACGAGAACGGGACCACGGCCCAGACUCCUAAGGGACGCAGCAGUAGGGAAUUUUCGGCAAUAGUGGAAACCCUGACAGAGCAACGCCGCGUGAGAUGAAGAGUCGUUCGUUAUGUAAUGUUCUGUCAUAGAGGAAGAACGGUGGAUAUAGGGGAUGAUGCCCGAGUGACGGUACUCUAUAAGAAAGCAACGGCUAACUACGUG
rnacentral:rRNA from 1 species